AGAGUUUGAUCCUGGCUCAGAACGAACGCUGGCGGCGCGUCUUAAGCAUGCAAGUCGAACGGCAAGAAGAGGUUUACUUCUUCCUAGAGUGGCGGACUGGUGAGUAACACGUGGACGACGUACCCUCCUGACGGGGACAGCCGGUAGAAAUACCGGAUAAUACCGGAUAAUCUCUUUUGGGGUAAAGAUGAAAGAGUAAAGCGGCUCCGGCCGCGCAGGAGGAACGGUCCGCGGCCUAUCAGCUAGUCGGCAGGGUAAAGGCCUGCCGAGGCGACGACGGGUAUCCGGCCUGAGAGGGUGAACGGACACAUUGGGACUGAGAUACGGCCCAGACUCCUACGGGAGGCAGCAGCUAAGAAUAUUCCGCAAUGGGGGGAACCCUGACGGAGCGACGCCGCGUGGACGAUGAAGGCUGGAAGGUUGUAAAGUCCUUUUGUCCGCGAGGAAUAAUAUUGGGAGGAAAUGCCUGAUAGGUGACGGUAGCGGAUGAAUAAGCACCGGCUAAUUACGUGCCAGCAGCCGCGGUAACACGUAAGGUGCGAGCGUUGUUCGGAAUUAUUGGGCGUAAAGGGCAUGCAGGCGGCCGUGCAAGCCCGGCGUGAAAUGGCGGGGCUCAACCCCGUCACUGCGCUGGGAACUGUGUGGCUAGGGUCGCCGAGGGGCAGCCGGAAUUCCAGGUGUAGGGGUGAAAUCUGUAGAUAUCUGGAAGAACACCGAUGGCGAAGGCAGGCUGCCAGCGGAUGACCGACGCUGAGGUGCGAAGGCGCGGGGAGCGAACAGGAUUAGAUACCCUGGUAGUCCGCGCAGUCAACGAUGUGCACUGGGCGUCCGCGCGAGCGCGUGGGUGCCGCAGCAAACGCGAUAAGUGCACCGCCUGGGGAGUAUGCCCGCAAGGGUGAAACUCAAAGGAAUUGACGGGGGCCCGCACAAGCGGUGGAGCAUGUGGUUUAAUUCGAUGGUACGCGAGGAACCUUACCUGGGCUUGACACGCAUGGGGAACGUCGGGAGACCGGCGUGCGUGGAAACACGACCGUGCGCAGGUGCUGCAUGCCUGUCGUCAGCUCGUGCCGUGAGGUGUUGGGUUAAGUCCCGCAACGAGCGCAACCCCUACCGCCUGUUGCCAUCAGGUAAAGCUGGGCACUCAGGCGGAACUGCCCGCGACAAGCGGGAGGAAGGCGGGGACGACGUCAAGUCAUCAUGGCCCUUAUGUCCAGGGCUACACACGUGCUACAAUGGUCGGUACAGAGCGGAGCGAAGUUGCGAGACGGAGCAGAGCGCUGAAAGCCGACCGUAGUUCGGAUUGGAGUCUGAAACCCGACUCCAUGAAGCUGGAAUCGCUAGUAAUCGCAUAUCAGCACGAUGCGGUGAAUACGUUCCCGGGCCUUGUACACACCGCCCGUCACACCAUCCGAGUGGGGGGUACCCGAAGCCGGUAGUCCAACCGUAAGGAGGACGCUGUCGAAGGUAUGCCCCGUGAGGGGGGUGAAGUCGUAACAAGGUAGUCGUACCGGAAGGUGCGGCUG
rnacentral:rRNA from 1 species